rnacentral:rRNA from 1 species
UACGUAGGGGUCUAGCGUUGUCCGGAAUUAUUGGGCGUAAAGAGCUCGUAGGCGGUUCGACAAGUCGGAUGUGAAAUCUCCACGCUUAACGUGGAGGGGCCAUUCGAAACUGUCGUGACUGGAGUCCGGUAGGGGAGUGCGGAAUUCCUGGUGUAGCGGUGAAAUGCGCAGAUAUCAGGAGGAACACCAGUGGCGAAGGCGGCACUCUGGGCCGGUACUGACGCUGAGGAGCGAAAGCGUGGGGAGCGAACAGG